CAGCCGCCACGGUAAUACGGAGGGUGCAAGCGUUAAUCGGAAUUACUGGGCGUAAAGCGCACGCAGGCGGUCUGACAAGUCAGAUGUGAAAUCCCCGGGCUUAACCUGGGAACUGCAUUUGAAACUGUCAGGCUGGAGUCUUGUAGAGGGGGGUGGAAUUCCAGGUGUAGCGGUGAAAUGCGUAGAGAUCUGGAGGAAUACCGGUGGCGAAGGCGGCCCCCUGGACAAAGACUGACGCUCAGGUGCGAAAGCGUGGGGAGCAAACAGGAUUAGAUACCCCUGUAGUCCCUGUCUCUUAUAA
rnacentral:rRNA from 1 species